UAUUACUAAAUUUAUUUUAAUAUUACAUGAUUUUUCAAUAAAACCAUUUUAGUAGUUUUUCAUUUUUCUGUAAUCCAAACUCAAAGUAUGAGUAUAUAAUAAUCGUGGAUUAAUUAAUAAUUUGAGUAGGUUAUUCUCUUAAAUUGAUAUUUAUAUAAUAAAUCACCGAAGAUGCAGAAUACGUACGGAGCUCCAUCAUCAAAUUCUAAGGUUUCUAGAAUCGAACACUACUCUCUGUUAAAUUGGUUUAAGAUGAACGUUGUUUAUGAAUUAUGUGUAUGAUGAAAUAUUGAGAAUGUUGUUAGAAAAAAUAUAUUUUAA
rnacentral:sRNA from 1 species